rnacentral:rRNA from 1 species
AUAGAGGCAAGUGGAACUCCAUGUGUAGCGGUGAAAUGCGUAGAUAUGUGGAAGAACACCAGUGGCGAAAGCGGCUUGCUAGAUCGUAACUGACGUUGAGGCUCGAAAGUAUGGGUAGCAAACGGGAUUAGAUACCCCGGUAGUCCAUACCGUAAACGAUGGGUGCUAGUUGUUAAGAGGUUUCCGCCUCCUAGUGACGUAGCAAACGCAUUAAGCACCCCGCCUGAGGAGUACGGCCGCAAGGCUAAAACUUAAAGGAAUUGACGGGGACCUGCACAAGCGGUGGAGCAUGUGGUUUAAUUCGAAGAUACGCGAAAAACCUUACCAGGUCUUGACAUACCAAUGAUCGCUUUUGUAAUGAAAGCUUUUCUUCGGAACAUUGGAUACAGGUGGUGCAUGGUCGUCGUCAGCUCGUGUCGUGAGAUGUUGGGUUAAGUCCCGCAACGAGCGCAACCCUUGUUAUUAGUUGCCAGCAUUUAGUUGGGCACUCUAAUGAGACUGCCGGUGAUAAACCGGAGGAAGGUGGGGACGACGUCAGAUCAUCAUG